rnacentral:pre_miRNA from 1 species
UAGGUACUCCCUCUGUCCGAAAAAGCUUGUCCCAAACUUGUCCCUCAAAUGGAUGUAUCUAACACUAACUUGAUGCUAGAUACAUUCAUUUGAGGGACAAGCUUUUCCGGACGGAGGAAGUAGCAU